rnacentral:misc_RNA from 1 species
UGAAGAACGCAGCGAAAUGCGAUAAGUAAUGUGAAUUGCAGAAUUCAGUGAAUCAUCGAAUCUUUGAACGCACAUUGCGCCCGCCAGUAUUCUGGCGGGCAUGCCUGUUCGAGCGUCAUUUCAACCAUCAAGCCCCAGGCUUGUGUUGGGGACCUGCGGCUGCCGCAGGCCCUGAAAACCAGUGGCGGGCUCGCUGUCACACCGGGCGUAGUAGAUUUUAUCUCGCUCAGGGCGUGCUGCGGGUUCCGGCCGUUAAAAAGCCUUUUUUACCCAAGGUUGACCUCGGAUCAGGUAGGAAGACCCGCUGAACUUAAGCAUAUCAAUAAGCGGAGGA